rnacentral:sRNA from 1 species
UUGGUUUCAUGAACGGGGCCACAUAUUUCGGGAAGCACUCGGGCAUUGUCACCAGCUAUGGCAAGUGUCGCUGGUGUAGUAGCCUCUCCAGCAUGGGCGGUGCUGGGGCUUUACAGAGGAGGCUCCGGAAGCCUGUUCUGGCACCACUGGGUUCUUGACCUAUAAUCUAUGCUGAGUACUGAAGAUUUUCCUAUCUAUUUUCCUUCCUUCUGUAUGUUCGUAAUGCCCCAACAGGCUGUCAUUGCAGUAGACAGGGCUUUCCGGGACUUAGAGCUCCGCUUCACACAUCUGGUAUACUGCCCUGUUGGCUUGAACCUCUGAAGAGAGGCAGGGUAGGAGCGGUGACUGCUGUAAAGACACAGACCUGCACGGCCGGGCGAUACAGACUGAGCAAAGAAAAGAGUACCCGUUGAAGGGGUGUCCACUCUUUUGGCUUCCCUGGGCCACACUGGAAGAAGAAGGAUUGUCUUGGGCCACACAUGAAAUACACUAACACUAAUGAUAGCUGAUGAGCUUAAAAAAAAACCACAAAAUGUUCUAAGAAAGUUUAUGAAUUUGUGUUGGGCUGCAUUCAAAGCCAUCCUGGGCCGCCUGUAGCCCAUGAGCUGUGGGUUGAACAAGUUUGCAUUAGAAAGUGAAGUGGGGGCAAGCCCAGUGUCAUGGCUUGACACUGGAAGCCAGUAGAAGGUCCCCAGGAAGAGUUGUGGGGAAUGUCCUUAGAUUGGCAUCACACACCCACGUGGGAUGGAAGGUGUCUUCCUUUUGUCUCACUCGCAGUGGCCCUGGCCAUCUCCUGCCAGCGGUGCUGAAACAGGGCCUGCUGCAGAGACUGCAUGGCUGGUGACUGGCCCCGGUGUCUUGCAGACUAUGAUGCAGUGCUCACGGAGGCUGGAGAUUACACAGAAAAAUAUCUGAAGCUUCAAAAACUCUUUCAAUCUGUCUCAGGUACUCAGCACCCAUUUAACUUACGGGCCAGCCCUCCUCAUGUGGAGUCUCUGUUCUGUGGAAAAGUGAGGAAGGCGUGGGUCUCCCUUGUGGGCAGCAGUUACACCAAGCUCCUGAGAACAAGGGCAACCUUAACUUCGAACCCUGGGCUUAAAAUCUGUGUGAUUUUUUAAAAUCAGGGUUUCUAAGCAUUUUAUAAGCCUCAGUUUCUUCACUGAAGCAUAAAGGUAGUAACCUUGGUCUCCUGUGAUGACUGUGAAGAUUGAGUUACUCUUUGUAAAGCUCUUAUACCAUGGAUGACAUAGUAACUCCCAAUAUGAAAGCAGAAGCCAUGCUGGAUAGGCAUGGGGGGCUUAGAGAAGGCAGUGGUCAUCUCAGGCACUUUUUGCCCUGUGCCCCAUCUCCAUUGCAGCAACUCCCCUGCCCCGAGUACCCAAACUUCCUCCCAAGGCUGUGUAUCCCCCCGUGAGACCGUCGCUGUACCUCCCGCUGUGGGACGCCCUAUCCUACUUAAAUGAGCCAGUCAGGUCGCGUCAGCCCGUCAACAUGGAGAACCUUCCCAUAAACAAUGGGAGCGGCCAGUCCUACGGGCUUGUCCUGUAUGAGAAGUCCAUCUGCUCCGGAGGCCGCCUCCGUGCCCACGCUCAUGACAUGGCACAGGUGUUUUUGGAUGAGACAAUGAUAGGGAUUCUGAAUGAGAACAAUAAGGACCUGCACAUUCCUGAACUCAGGGACUGCCGAUACCUGAGGAUCCUGGUGGAGAAUCAAGGACGAGUCAAUUUUUCAUGGCAAAUACAGAAUGAGCAGAAAGGAAUAACUGGAUCUGUCAGCAUCAAUAACUCUUCCCUGGAGGGCUUUACCAUCUAUUCCCUGGAGAUGAAAAUGAGCUUCUUUGAGAGGCUGCGCUCUGCCACCUGGAAGCCUGUCCCAGACAGCCACCAGGGCCCGGCCUUCUACCGUGGGACCUUGAAGGCUGGCCCUUCUCCCAAGGACACCUUCCUGAGCCUGCUGGUAGGU